GUGUCGUGUGCUGAUGUGCUUUAUGCUUUCACCAUUCUGUGUUAGUCUUCCUUCACAGUUAAAUUCCAAUUAAAUUUCACUCCACCUACUGUGACUCCAGUAUUUGAUGUGCUUUUGGUUGCUGAAGCUGAACUUCUAUCUGAAGAAACUCAUCGAUUUCCAAGAAAGUUUUACUAGAUGUAUCACGUUGCCAGAUUUGUGGAAAAUGGGAGGGUGUUGGUGGAGGUCAUAGCCUCCAAUUGGAAAGUAAACCAAAAGCAAUAUUAUGGCCGAAUGUCAAUAAGAAGAAAUUCGAGAAAUAUCUGAAGGAGCGGCGAGAGCCAGACAGCUCCUGGCUCCAAAUCGCUACAACACUGUUAAAGCAGGACAUAGGCUAUGAGGAGGCAGAGAAUUUCGUAAAUGAUUAUAUACUGAAAGCGAACACGGAGAGUGAGAGCGAAAGCAGUGAAGUGGAACGACGGAAAAGCACCCUGCCCCGGAAAAAGAAAGACACCCGUAAGUUUUGCCUGAGUAUUCUACAAAUAGACACAAUUUCACGAUAUAAAAGAAGAAAAUGAGGUCUGAAGCUGCAGGUAUAGCUGGAAAGGUUCUGCUUGUCUUUUCUGUAAGUGCAUUUGACAGCACUUGCAUUUUGAGAGCAGAAUUAAAUCAUAAGAAUGAAAGUACGACUUG
rnacentral:lncRNA from 1 species